GACGAACGCUGGCGGCGUGCCUAAUACAUGCAAGUCGAACGGUCUUUUCUAUGGAAGCUUGCUUCCGCUGAGAAGAUAGUGGCGAACGGGUGAGUAACACGUGGGUAACCUGCCCAUAAGAGGGGGAUAACAUCCGGAAACGGGUGCUAAUACCGCAUAGGUUUCUUGGUCGCAUGAUCGAGAAAGGAAGACGGCCUUUGUGCUGUCGCUUAUGGAUGGACCCGCGGCGUAUUAGUUAGUUGGUGAGGUAACGGCUCACCAAGACGAUGAUACGUAGCCGACCUGAGAGGGUGAUCGGCCACACUGGAACUGAGACACGGUCCAGACUCCUAC
rnacentral:rRNA from 1 species